rnacentral:rRNA from 1 species
GACGAACGCUGGCGGCGUGCUUAACACAUGCCAGUCGAACGCUGAAGCUCAGCUUUUGUUGGGUGGAUGAGUGGCGAACGGGUGAGUAACACAUGAGUAACCUGCCCCCUUCUUUGGGAUAACGCCCGGAAACGGGUGCUAAUACUGGAUAUUCACUGGUCUUCGCAUGGGGGUUGGUGGAAAGGGUUUUUCUGGUGGGGGAUGGGCUCGCGGCCUAUCAGCUUGUUGGUGGGGUGAUGGCCUACCAAGGCUUUGACGGGUAGCCGGCCUGAGAGGGUGACCGGUCACAUUGGGACUGAGAUACGGCCCAGACUCCUACGGGAGGCAGCAGUGGGGAAUAUUGCACAAUGGGCGCAAGCCUGAUGCAGCGACGCCGCGUGAGGGAUGGAGGCCUUCGGGUUGUGAACCUCUUUCGCUCAUGGUCAAGCCGCAACAAUGGUUGUGGUGAGGGUAGUGGGUAAAGAAGCGCCGGCUAACUACGUG